rnacentral:rRNA from 1 species
CCUACGGGAGGCAGCAGUGAGGAAUAUUGGUCAAUGGGCGGGAGCCUGAACCAGCCAAGUCGCGUGAGGGAAGACGGUCCUAUGGAUUGUAAACCUCUUUAGGCGGGGAGCAAUGCCGGGCACGCGUGCCCGGAGGGAGAGUACCCGCAGAAUAAGCAUCGGCUAACACGGUGCAAGCAGCCGCGGUAAUACGGGGGAUGCGAGCGUUAUCCGGAUUGAUUGGGUUAAAAGGGAGCGUAGGCGGAUUUUUAAGUCAGCGGUAAAAUGUCCGGGCUCAAACCGGGCCGGCUGUUGAAACUGGGGAUCUUGAGUGGGCGAGAAGUAUGCGGAAUGCGGGGUGUAGCGGUGAAAUGCAUAGAUAUCACGCAGAACUCCGAUUGCGAAGGCAGCAUACCGGCGCCCAACUGACGCUGAGGCACGAAAGCGUGGGGAUCGAACAGGAUUAGAUACCCCUGUAGUC